AAGAAUAAAAAAUACAAAACAAGUUCAAAGCCCAAAAACAAAUGAGAAACAUACCCAAAGAAAAUAAAACAACAAAACAAAAACAAACCCAACCACAAACUUCAAAAAGAAAAAAGAAUAUGAAAAGUCAUUCUUUAUCUUAGCACCUAGACUUCAUCAAAUCACUAUUAAAUUCCCAUUAAAUACACCUACCAGAUACCCAAGAAAUAGCAGUUUCCAAAACAAAAAAUCAAAACCUUGGUCUACUAUUCUUUGUUUUCCAAAAACCUUUCCCUCUCCAACCUCAAUUUGGGGUCCGUUGUCUUCUCCUCUCUUCCGCCCUGCGCACGAAAUCCGGGACUCUACCACUCAAGUAAAUAUCUUCCCCCAUUAUCAAGCUUUCUUUAACCAAAUGAUGAGCAAGAGAAUUUGCCGAUAUUGAAAUGUGCCUAAAAAUAAUAUGUUUAAAGUUCUUUUUAUAUUGUUGAAUGUUUUUAGUAAUGGAUCCUAUCUCCAAUUUAUCCUCACUAUUUGAGUUGGCUUUCUUUUUUGUUGUCAAUGAGCCCUUUUCGAUUAUCGCACACUCUAUCCUCAUGGGAAUACCUAGUUGCAACGCCUGAACACACGCCUGUGUUUUAGCAGCAAACGAAGAAGAGAUUGCUUUAUGACCCAUGACCAUGGAAACUAAUAUUUCCCCCAGUGGGUUCCUCACCACCACUCCGACCCAGAUCUUGCAUGCUGAGGGUCAUAGGCCCCAUCAAAGUUAAUUUUAAAGAAUAGUUCAUAAGGGGGUUCCCACAUAUCAAAAUCUCUCGUUUGGGCAAUUCCGGCUUGUCUAGAGUGUCCAAAGCCCACAAUAGAAGAUUCUACAUUGCUCAGUGGUAGCAAUCUGAAACACUCAGUUAACAAAGAACCCAAGACAUCGACGCACAAAGGAAA